rnacentral:rRNA from 1 species
UACGGAGGGGGCGAGCGUUAUUCGGAAUUAUUGGGCGUAAAGGGCGCGUAGGCGGCCUUGUAAGUCAAAGGUGAAAUCCCUCGGCUCAACUGAGGAACUGCCUUUGAUACUGGCGACCUUGAGUCCGGGAGAGGUGAGUGGAACUGCGAGUGUAGAGGCGAAAUUCGUAGAUAUUCGCAAGAACACCAGUGGCGAAGGCGGCUCACUGGCCCGGUACUGACGCUGAGGUGCGAAAGCGUGGGGAGCAAACAGG